rnacentral:rRNA from 1 species
GACGAACGCUGGCGGCGUGCUUAACACAUGCAAGUCGAACGAGGCGCUUGCGCCUAGUGGCGAACGGGUGAGUAACACGUGAGCCAACCUGCCCCUGGCUCUGGGAUAGCCUCCGGAAACGGGGAUUAAUACCGGACAUGACCUUCCGCUGCAUGGCGGUUGGNGGUAAAGUUUUCGGCCAGGGAGGGCUCGCGGCCUAUCAGCUUGGUGGGGGUAACGGCCACCAGGCGACGACGGUAGCCGGCCUGAGAGGCGACCGGCCACACUGGGACUGAGACACGGCCCAGACUCCGUACGGGAGGCAGCAGGUGGGGAAUAUUGCGCAAUGGGGGAACCCUGACGCAGCGACGCCGCGUGCGGGAUGAAGGCCUUCGGGUUGUAAACCGCUUUCAGUAGGGACGAAGCGAGAGUGACGGUACCUGCAGAAGAAGCGCCGGCUAACUACGUG